AAACUUGAAGAUGAGGAGCUUGUCUCCUUCAUUCUGGCGGGCCUUGGCGAUGACUUCGAGUCCAUUGUGACAGCCAUGGCGACCCGCGUCGAGCCUCUCUCCGUCAAUGAGCUGUAUGCUCAGCUCAUCGCCUUCGAGC
rnacentral:snoRNA from 1 species